rnacentral:tRNA from 1 species
UCCCUGUUAAUCUAGUGGUUAGGAUUCGCGGAUUUCACCCGCGCGGCCCGGGUUCGAUUCCCCGACAGGGAG